rnacentral:rRNA from 1 species
GAUGAACGCUGGCGGCGUGCUUAACACAUGCAAGUCGAACGAAGCACUUUAUUUGAUUUCCUUCGGGACUGAUUAUUUUGUGACUGAGUGGCGGACGGGUGAGUAACGCGUGGGUAACCUGCCUUGUACAGGGGGAUAACAGUUGGAAACGGCUGCUAAUACCGCAUAAGCGCACAGCAUCGCAUGAUGCAGUGUGAAAAACUCCGGUGGUAUAAGAUGGACCCGCGUUGGAUUAGCUAGUUGGUGAGGUAACGGCCCACCAAGGCGACGAUCCAUAGCCGACCUGAGAGGGUGACCGGCCACAUUGGGACUGAGACACGGCCCAAACUCCUACGGGAGGCAGCAGUGGGGAAUAUUGCACAAUGGGCGAAAGCCUGAUGCAGCGACGCCGCGUGAGCGAAGAAGUAUUUCGGUAUGUAAAGCUCUAUCAGCAGGGAAGAUAAUGACGGUACCUGGCUAAGAAGCACCGGCUAAAUACGUG